rnacentral:misc_RNA from 1 species
UCCCAGUUUGGCCGGGCAGUCUCCUGUGACACGUAUAACACAGGACAGGGGUUGCGCUCGUUGCGGGGCUUAACCCAACACCUCACGGCACGAGCUGACGACAGCCAUGCAGCACCUGUACCAGUUCCCGACUUAACGGGUCGUCCCCCUUUCAGGUUUCUACUUCUGGCUUUUCAAGCCCAGGUAAGGUUCUUCGCGUUGCAUCGAAUUAAACCACACGCUCCGCUGCUUGUGCGGGCCCCCGUCAAUUCCUUUGAGUUUCAGCCUUGCGGCCGUACUCCCCAGGCGGGGCACUUAGUGCGUUAGCUACGACACCGAAGGGGUCGAUCCCACCGGCAUCUAGUGCCCAUCGUUUACAGCGUGGACUAC